rnacentral:rRNA from 1 species
UGGGGAAUAUUGCACAAUGGGCGAAAGCCUGAUGCAGCAACGCCGCGUGAGUGAUGAAGGUCUUCGGAUUGUAAAGCUCUGUCUUUUGGGACGAUAAUGACGGUACCAAAGGAGGAAGCCACGGCUAACUACGUGCCAGCAGCCGCGGUAAUACGUAGGUGGCGAGCGUUGUCCGGAUUUACUGGGCGUAAAGGGUGCGUAGGCGGAUGUUUAAGUGAGAUGUGAAAUACCCGGGCUUAACUUGGGUGCUGCAUUUCAAACUGGAUAUCUAGAGUGCAGGAGAGGAGAAUGGAAUUCCUAGUGUAGCGGUGAAAUGCGUAGAGAUUAGGAAGAACACCAGUGGCGAAGGCGAUUCUCUGGACUGUAACUGACGCUGAGGCACGAAAGCGUGGGUAGCAAACAGGAUUAGAUACCCUGGUAGUCCACGCCGUAAACGAUGAGUACUAGGUGUAGGAGGUAUCGACCCCUUCUGUGCCGCAGUAAACACAUUAAGUACUCCGCCUGGGGAAGUACGAUCGCAAGAUUAAAACUCUAAAGUGAA